rnacentral:rRNA from 1 species
UACGUAGGGUGCGAGCGUUGUCCGGAAUUAUUGGGCGUAAAGAGCUCGUAGGCGGUGUGUCACGUCGGCCGUGAAAACCUGCAGCUUAACUGUGGGCGUGCGGGCGAUACGGGCAGACUGGAGUACUGCAGGGGAGACUGGAAUUCCUGGUGUAGCGGUGGAAUGCGCAGAUAUCAGGAGGAACACCGGUGGCGAAGGCGGCUUCCUGGACCGACACUGACGCUGAGGCGCGAAAGCUAGGGGAGCAAACGGG